GUUUGAUCCUGGCUCAGAUUGAACGCUGGCGGCAUGCUUUACACAUGCAAGUCGAACGGCAGCACGGGUGCUUGCACCUGGUGGCGAGUGGCGAACGGGUGAGUAAUACAUCGGAACGUGCCUAUUAGUGGGGGAUAACGCUUCGAAAGGAGUGCUAAUACCGCAUACGUCCUGAGGGAGAAAGCGGGGGAUCUUCGGACCUCGUGCUAAUAGAGCGGCUGAUGGCUGAUUAGCUAGUUGGUGAGGUAAAGGCUCACCAAGGCGACGAUCAGUAGCGGGUCUUAGAGGACGAUCCGCCACACUGGGACUGAGACACGGCCCAGACUCCUACGGGAGGCAGCAGUGGGGAAUCUUGGACAAUGGGCGCAAGCCUGAUCCAGCAAUGCCGCGUGGGUGAAGAAGGCC
rnacentral:rRNA from 1 species